rnacentral:lncRNA from 1 species
GAACUGUCCUGGCAUUAACUUGGAUGACGGUGAAUAUUCAACAAAUCUUCCUUGAGACAGAUUUGAUGGUGGCGAGUUACCGAAGAACCUUCCUUGAGGUAGAUCAGAUGGUGGUGAGUUACCCAAGAACCUUCCUUGAGGUAGAUUAGAUGGUGAUGAGUUACCCAAGAACCUUCCUUGCGGCAGAUUAGAUGGUGGCGAAUUAUGGCAGAACCUUCCUUGAGGUGGAUUGGAUGGUAUCGAGUUAUCGAAGAACCUUCCUUGAGGUCUUCCUUGAUGUUGUUGGGAUGGUGGCGAGUUAUCCAUGAAACUCCCUUGAGAUAGCUUGGAAUGUGUCGAGUUUUCGGUGAACCUCCCUUGAGGUAGCUGGCAUUGUGUUGGGCCAUCUAUAGACCUUUGAGGUGGCCUGGAUGGGGUUGAUGUGGAGGAACUUGCA